CACUUCCUAGCAACUGCUGCAGCUAACGAUGCCUUUAGGGGAAAUCACCAACUCCGGUGCCAGGCUGCAUAAAUGCCGUAUGAAAUGUGUUUAUACCAGAGUAGACAAAGCCAGACGAACAGAUCAAGGAUACUAGGAUAAUAACAAGGGCUGCUACAGCAAUUCCAGUGACAGCAGCUACAAUGGUCAACACCGGUAAAGACCUGCUGGAUUUGGGCUCUGGAAAAGACAGAUAUGAGGACAGGAGCCAGGUGGACACAAGAAAACUCCAGCUACAACAUUUCAGCUCUUUGGAAUGUCUGGAAUGUCUAGGAACUUAGAGAACCUUUGCACCAAUGACAAGGCUCUGUUUCACUGCUGCCUUAUCACCCACCACCUGCAAGUGAAGAGCUCUGGGCUAAGCCACUUGCCAUCACUUGGCAAGGGCUUCACAGCUCUCCUCUUUGCCUCCGAUCCCAGUUCCUAGGUCUCCAUGUGGGGCUACACAACUCUAGCCUUUGUUUGUCUCCUCUUCUCCCUUUCCAACAUCUUGACAGAGUCCCCAUACCUUGGACAGUGAUGGUCACAGGCUUCGAUGAGUAUUUUGUCCUUCCUAGAAGUCCUGUGCAGUGGUAAUCACCACUGUGGCUGUGAUUGGCUUUGGAGAUGGAGAAGUUGCCACUGUAAUGAUGAAAUUUCACCGAUUUUCCAUUCUGGUAGAAUGUGACCUUGUUCAGGGGUUUGUUCCUCCAACCAUGGCACCUCAGCAUGAUGGUUUCUCCUUCCAGGAAUACCAGUUGAGGGGUCUGGAGCAGCAGCCAGUCUGAAAGACACAAAAAGACCAUAGGACUCAGAGAGCCUUGGCUCAGCUCUGAGACCCAGGCCACCCUUCCAGGUGGGAUAGGAUAUACUAAGGGGAGAGAGCUUUAGUUUGACAUCAGACAAUUUUGAUCUCUGAUUCUAGCUCCAUUCAUUUACAAGCUCUUCAGUCUUGGGCAAGUAAUAUAACCCUUCUGGGUCCCACCUUCCUCAUCUGUGAAAAUGGCAUGAUCAGAUUUUGUAGCUACAAUAGUUCCUGGUGCCUAACAUUCUCCUCCCUCUCUUGAGAGAAGGCAGCUGCCAUCCAGUCCUAACAGGAAGAAUACAAGAGAUGGAGGUGUAAGCCCUUUCCAGUAGGAAAGAGGAAGGAAUCCAGUCUGAUGGCUAUGAAGAGGCUAUAACAGAGCCUUCUGUUUGGGGGUCAGAACAUCUUGAACCUCCAAAAUGUUGGUUUCCUUGAUGAAUAGUAACAGAUGUGGAACUACAGUCCAGCAGGGCCAGAGGCAAAUCAUUAGCUUGCUAUGUACAUACUUUUGAGGAAAAACUGGGAUCCAGUGACAGGAGGGAACAAAGAGGGACAGUGACGAUAGUCAUCAGUGCAGUCUCGUGGUGGCUUUUCUGUGGAGAAAAUCUACUUUUUGCCAGGAGCCUUGCAAAACUGUUGAUCUGCUCAGCAAAGGUUUAGGAAGCCCUGCCCUGUUCUGGAUACUGCAAAUAUGGGAACGGAUGAGACACAGCUUUUCUCCUCAAGUGCCCACAAGCUGGCGGAAGAAAAAGAAAGCCAAGGACACCCAGGACGGUGAAGGCAUGAGGCCAGGAAAAAGCCCAUGCUCCCCUGAACCUCCGGAAAGAGGCCUUAGCACCCUCAGCUGAGCAGAUGAGCAAGCUGAACUCAAGGUUAAAUAAAUUAAUUAACCAUAUUUAUAGAGACGGUCCUUCUCCCAGCUCGCAUUCAGUUGUGGGCUAUCGGCAUUUUUUCUGAGUGUCAUGUAACAGAAGAGUUUCUAUGAAAUAGGGACUUCCUUUUUCUGUCACAUUCA